UUCGUCACACUAUCAUUAACUGAAUCCAUAGGUUAAUGAGGCGAACCGGGGGAACUGAAACAUCUAAGUACCCCGAGGAAAAGAAAUCAACCGAGAUUCCCCCAGUAGCGGCGAGCGAACGGGGAGCAGCCCAGAGCCUGAAUCAGUGUGUGUGUUAGUGGAAGCGUCUGGAAAGGCGCGCGAUACAGGGUGACAGCCCCGUACACAAAAAUGCACAUGCUGUGAGCUCGAUGAGUAGGGCGGGACACGUGGUAUCCUGUCUGAAUAUGGGGGGACCAUCCUCCAAGGCUAAAUACUCCUGACUGACCGAUAGUGAACCAGUACCGUGAGGGAAAGGCGAAAAGAACCCCGGCGAGGGGAGUGAAAAAGAACCUGAAACCGUGU
rnacentral:rRNA from 1 species